rnacentral:rRNA from 1 species
GAUGAACGCUGGCGGCGUGCCUAAUACAUGCAAGUCGAGCGAACAGACGAGGAGCUUGCUCCUCUGACGUUAGCGGCGGACGGGUGAGUAACACGUGGAUAACCUACCUAUAAGACUGGGAUAACUUCGGGAAACCGGAGCUAAUACUGGAUAAUAUAUUGAACCGCAUGGUUCAAUAGUGAAAGACGGUUUUGCUGUCACUUAUAGAUGGAUCCGCGCCGCAUUAGCUAGUUGGUAAGGUAACGGCUUACCAAGGCAACGAUGCGUAGCCGACCUGAGAGGGUGAUCGGCCACACUGGAACUGAGACACGGUCCAGACUCCUACGGGAGGCGGCAGUAGGGAAUCUUCCGCAAUGGGCGAAAGCCUGACGGAGCAACGCCGCGUGAGUGAUGAAGGUCUUCGGAUCGUAAAACUCUGUUAUUAGGGAAGAACAAAUGUGUAAGUAACUAUGCACGUCUUGACGGUACCUAAUCAGAAAGCCACGGCUAACUACGUG